AAUGAACGUUGGCGGCGUGGAUUAGGCAUGCAAGUCGCGCGACAAGGAACCUUCGGGUUCUGGAGGAGCGGCAAACGGGGUAGUAAGGCAUCGGAACGUACCCUCUUGUUGGGAAUAGCCGCGGGAAACUGCGAGUAAUGCCUAAUAAUCCCUACGGGGCAAAGGUCCGCCGCAGGAGGAGCGGCCGAUGUGAUACCAGCUAGUUGGUGAGGUAAUGGCUCACCAAGGCUUAGGCGUCUAGGGGGUGUGAGAGCAUGGCCCCCACCACUGGGACGUGAGAUACUGCCCACGACACCUACGGGUGGCUGCAGUCGAGAAUCUUCGGCAAUGGGCGCAAGCCUGACCGAGCAACGCCGCGUGCGGGA
rnacentral:rRNA from 1 species